AUUGAACGCUGGCGGCAGGCCUAACACAUGCAAGUCGAACGAGUGGCGGACGGGUGAGUAAUGCUGGGGAAUCAAGCUGAUGGAGGGGGAUAACUACGGGAAACUGAAGCUAAUACCGCGUACCAUAGGAUGAGCACAAGAGGGAUUAGGUAGUUGGUGAGGUAAAGGCUCACCAAGCCGACUAUCUCUAGCUGGCCUGAGAGGAUGACCAGCCACACUGGAACUGCGACACGGCCCAGACUCCUACGGUAGGCAGCAGUGGGGAAUAUUGCGCAAUGGGGGCAACCUGACGCAGCCAUGCCGCGUGAAUGAAGAAGGCCUUCGGGUUGUAAAGUUCUUUCGGUAGCGAGGCGUUAACUACAGAAGAAGCACCGGCUAACUCCGUGCCAGCAGCCGCGGUAAUUC
rnacentral:rRNA from 1 species